rnacentral:rRNA from 1 species
GACGAACGCUGGCGGCGUGCUUCACACAUGCAAGUCGAACGAAGUGGCGAACGGGUGAGUAACGCGUAAUCAACCUGCCCUUCAGAGGGGGACAACAGUUGGAAACGACUGCUAAUACCGCAUACUGAAGGAGGGGAUUGCGUCUGAUUGGCUAGUUGGGGGGGUAAAGGCCUCCCAAGGCGAUGAUCAGUUGCCGGGUUGGGAGGAGGGACGGCCACAUUGGGACUGGAGAACGGCCCAAGCUCCUACGGGAGGCAGGAGGUGGGAAGCAUCGGCAAUGGAGGGAAGGCUGACGGAGCAACGCCGCUUGGGUGGUGACGGCCUUCGGGGUGUAAAGCUCUGUUAAUCGGGACGCGGUACCGGAAUAGAAAGCCACGGCUAACUCCGUGCCAGCAGCCGCGGUAAUUC